GUUCUGGACUGAGCUAGGUCUGGUGGACACCGAUAACAGAGUCCUCAGAUUCCCCUCUGUCCUGUCAUGUAUUCCAUCUCAUCUGAAGACAUGGAGAUCCAGAGUGAAGGCUAAAUUUAUACCGGAGACACAGGAGGAUUUUCUUGCUCCUCUCUUGAUGGUCUUGCACAGUCUCACUCCUUCCACACUUCUUCAGUGUCAGUGGUGACAGUUACAUCAGAGGCCUCAGAUGUCUGGCGUGUUUCAUCUCCUGAAGGCUGCUGGUAGAGAGGGCAUUGUGUGAGUCGGCCGCAGACAAGUGAUACCUGCCUCAGCUCCUCUUCAAGUGUUUUUAUACGACACGCAGCCUGACAUACCUGAGCACUGAUCUCAGUGUAAACUUUAUGCCAAAGUGUAGUCAUUUGCACAAUCUCUAGAUAUACACACACACACAGACACACACACACACACACACACACACAAAUGCACGCAC